rnacentral:rRNA from 1 species
AUACACCGCUGGCGACCGGCGCACGGGUGAGUAACACGUAUCCAACCUGCCCUUUACUCGGGGAUAGCCUUUCGAAAGAAAGAUUAAUACCCGAUGGUAUAACAUGACCUCCUGGUUUUGUUAUUAAAGAAUUUCGGUAGAGGAUGGGGAUGCGUUCCAUUAGGCAGUUGGCGGGGUAACGGCCCACCAAACCUUCGAUGGAUAGGGGUUCUGAGAGGAAGGUCCCCCACAUUGGAACUGAGACACGGUCCAAACUCCUACGGGAGGCAGCAGUGAGGAAUAUUGGUCAAUGGGCGAGAGCCUGAACCAGCCAAGUAGCGUGAAGGAUGACCGCCCUAUGGGUUGUAAACUUCUUUUAUAUGGGAAUAAAGUUUGCCACGUGUGGCAUUUUGUAUGUACCAUAUGAAUAAGGAUCGGCUAACUCCGUGCCAGCAGCCGCGGUAAUACGGAGGAUCCGAGCGUUAUCCGGAUUUAUUGGGUUUAAAGGGAGCGUAGGUGGACAUGUAAGUCAGUUGUGAAAGUUUGCGGCUCAACCGUAAAAUUGCAGUUGAUACUGCGUGUCUUGAGUACAGUAGAGGUGGGCGGAAUUCGUGGUGUAGCGGUGA